AAAGUACUCCCUCUGUCCCAAAAUUCUUGUCUUAGAUUUGUCUAGAUACAGAUGUAUCAAGUCACAUUUUAGUAUUAGAUACAUCCGUAUCUAGACAAAUCUAAGACAAGAAAUUUGGGAUAGAGGGACUAGUUG
rnacentral:pre_miRNA from 1 species